rnacentral:rRNA from 1 species
UACGAGGGGUGCAAGCGUUGCUCGGAAUUAUUGGGCGUAAAGGGCUGGUAGGUGGUCUUGUUUGUCUAAGGUGAAAUCCCAUGGCUUAACUGUGGAAGUGCCUUAGAAACGGCAAGACUAGAGUCCUAGAGGGGUUUGUGGAAUUCCCGGUGUAGCGGUGAAAUGCGUAGAGAUCGGGAGGAACACCAGCGGCGAAGGCGGCAAACUGGAUAGGCACUGACACUCAACAACGAAAGCGUGGGGAGCAAACAGG